rnacentral:lncRNA from 1 species
AACCCUGAAUAAUAUCCCUGGGUCUGAGGUUGUAGCCUCUUUCAUCCUGCUGCCCUUUCGCUGACCGUAGUUGUGGGCCCAAUGAAUAAUCCAACUGCUUUCCAAGGGAUAAUUUUUGUUUGCUUGUUUGUUUUUUAGCUCUGAUGUAUUCCCUCGGUUGUAAUGAGUUUUCCCCAGUGCCCUGAGGGCUGCAGUUCUUCGUUGUCGUUUAUUCCCAGAGAGUAGGGAUUUAGUUCAGCAGUGGACAGGGAAGAGGAUCCAAGUGGAGUUUCUCGUCCCUCCUGCUCAGCUGCUUUCUCUUAGCCCAGCUCUGCAGCCCAUGGAUGCUUCUUAUGGUUUUUUCCAAUGUUUUCUGUGAGCACCCAGUGGGAUUUGUGGUGAAAUUAUGCAAGAGGAUGCAGACUCCAAUAUCUUCAGCUCCCAGUGGUUUCACAGUGUCCUGCCGGCCCACACUCAGCUGUCAUCAAUUUACGGCUAUUCCUGCUAAAAUCUUACCUUUGCAUCUACCCCGGAUAACAUUUAAAGGAACACCUCAACAUCGGAGAAAUUUUGAGAAAGUCACAGCCUGUAUACUUCUGGAGGAUGCUGGAAGAACAAAGCAGCAGAGCUGGUUUUGGACCAGCAGGAUGCUGGACUCGGAGACAGCAGGAUGAGGAUCUUGAAGUCUCUGCAUCUCAGCUUGGAAUCCUAGUAACCAACAGAACAGUCCCACUGACCAUGCUGGUUAUAUGAUCUGCCCAUCUUGAGAAAAUCUCCCUACCACUGCCAGCAUGGGCCUUUGUCAUUUACUACUGUAUGAUUGUUAAAAAGUUAUUUCAUCUCUAGUGCCUCCUUUUUCUUACCUCUGAAACAAGAAUAUACAAGCAUCUAUUU